CAGCUGCCCUUGACGAUGAAGUCAUAGAUGGCAAAGUGCAGGGAUGGCGUGGGCUGGGGGGUCUGGGGGGCCGGGAGGCAGGGGCAGCCCUGCCGCUCCAGCAGCCGCACUCGCAGGUUGGUGAUCUUCAGCUGUGCCUGGGCUUCCACACUGUAAGGGUCCUCCGCGGCGUAAGGUGGUGACAGGGCUCGGAAUAUCACCUGGGCAGAGAAACACAGCAGGUAUUUGAGCAUCUUCUGCCAGAAAGACUCAGAUAUGGGAGAAGGUUAACCAGGAGAGGUGGUCAGAGGACAAGGCUGGUGAGCAGCACAUCCCUUGUGCAGAAGUGUUGAGUCUGAUGAGGGGUAUUAAUAAACAGUAACACACUUCAAAAGA